GUCACUCUGAGUCGCCGCAUGCCGGGCUCCUUCUCUCGCUGCUGGUUCGGGUGUUGGGGCCUGGUCCCGCUUGCAAAAGCUCCCACGGACCAGAGAAAAGAGGAGGAUGUCAGACGUAGAAACAAAUGGCGUGUCAAGUUUCGCAGGAAGAGAGGGAAGAGUGAAGCUCCGGGAGCCAGCCACGAUUAGUCGCGCCUUCUGUGACGUCCAAUGGCAGAGGUGACUCUGAAGCAGAACUCUUGAGAUGGAAGGAUUGUCAUCUGAGGAAAAAAAAUCAAGAUUAAGAGAGGAGGAACUAGAAUGAGAUUCACAUACCGUCUCUCCUCCAAGGGAAGGAGAGAGUGGUGAUGCCUGCCCACUCCUUCCUGGGCAGAACAUUUGUAGCAUGGAACAUUGGAGAAUUUGCAGUCUGCUGACUUUCUGAUUUAGGAGGUUGAUGGGGAGGCCUUAUAAUUUGCAUUUCUAACAAGUUCUGAGGUGAUGCUUCAAGUAUGUCCAGGCAGAAGGGCUGCCUCACAGAGAAUUCUGCCAUACCACAUGGGAAUUGAAGUCACAGACAUCUCUAACCCUCAAGCCUGAAACCAAAAGACUGAAAACCAACACUACAGUGGACAAAGAACAUCUCUGAACUUGUGUGGGGACCAGUGACACAAGGACCUAAGGUCUCUCUCUUCUCAUCUUGGCACUUCAGAAGUCUCCCCAAUCUUGACAAAGCCCUGGAGAAAGGGCCGGGCCUCCCGUUGAUAAGAAUAUCACUGCAGAUAAAUGGAGGUUUCAAAUUGAAAGAAAGGAGGAGGGCCUCCUGUUGAUAAGAUUAUUGUCACUGCAGGUAAAUGGAGGCUUCAAAUAGAAAUACAUUUCAGUUACAGAAAAAAAAAUUAUCUUUGUUACACAUUUGAGUUUGCAGGCCUAAGGUUACUCCCGCUACACUAUCAUCUGUAACCAUAACGCACUCAACAUUUUAAGCUAACUAUAAGGAUUGUUGCUUCACUCAAAGAUCCUGAGGUUUUAUUCACUAACAUUUUUAUUUGGUGACUAUAGUUGACAAGAACAAAGCUGUGGGGAACCAACAAACACUGCAAUGCCUGGCAUUGUCACCUCACUAGAUUGUGAGUUCCUCUGGGACAGGGUCCGUACAUUUUCUUAGAAUCCCUCACUUAGCCAUUAGCCUGCACAGUGCUUGUACUUAGUAAGUGCUCAGUAAAUGUUUGUGGAAUGAAUGCAUGAUGAACAAAAUAUAUACUGAGGACUCUUGGUGUUGAUUCUUGUUGAUAAUGUAAUAGUUAAGAUAUGUUAUAAAUAUGUU
rnacentral:lncRNA from 10 species